rnacentral:rRNA from 1 species
AACGGAUAUCUCGGCUCUCGCAUCGAUGAAGAACGUAGCGAAAUGCGAUACUUGGUGUGAAUUGCAGAAUCCCGUGAACCAUCGAGUCUUUGAACGCAAGUUGCGCCUAAAGCCAUUAGGCUAAGGGCACGUCUGCCUGGGCGUCACGCAUCACG